AGAGUUUGAUUCUGGCUCAGGACGAACGCUGGCGGCGUGCCUAACACAUGCAAGUCGAACGAACCUCGAAGCUCUGAGAUUUCUGUCAAGGAGCGGAGAUGACUUAUUGGCGAACGGGUGAGUAAUGCGUGAGCGACCUGCCUUUCAGAGGGGGACAACAGCUGGAAACGGCUGCUAAUACCGCAUAAUACAUUUGGGUGGCAUCAUCUGAAUGUCAAAGGAGCAAUCCGCUGAAAGAUGGGCUCGCGUCUGAUUAGCUGGUUGGUGAGGUAACGGCUCACCAGGGCGACGAUCAGUACCCGGUCUGAGAGGAUGAACGGCCACCUUGAGACUGACAUACGGCCCAGACUCCUACGGGAGGCAGCAGUGGGGAAUAUUGGGCAAUGGGCGAAAGCCUGACCCAGCAACGCCGCGUGAAGGAAGAAGGCUUUCGGGUUGUAAACUUCUUUUAUCACGGACGAAGGAUGUGACGGUACCUGAUGAAUAACCCACGGCUAACUACGUGCCAGCAGCCGCGGUAAUACGUAGGUGGCAAGCGUUGUCCGGAUUUACUGGGUGUAAAGGGAGCGCAGGCGGGAAGACAAGUCGGAAGUGAAAUCCAUGGGCUCAACCCAUGAACUGCUUUCAAAACUGUUUUUCUUGAGUAGUGCAGAGGUAGGCGGAAUUCCCGGUGUAGCGGUGGAAUGCGUAGAUAUCGGGAGGAACACCAGUGGCGAAGGCGGCUUACUGGGCACCAACUGACGCUGAGGCUCGAAAGUGUGGGUAGCAAACAGGAUUAGAUACCCUGGUAGUCCACACUGUAAACGAUGAAUACUAGGUGUGGGGGGACUGACCCCCUCCGUGCCGGAGUUAACACAAUAAGUAUUCCACCUGGGGAGUGCGGCCGCAAGGUUGAAACUCAAAGGAAUUGACGGGGGCCCGCACACAGCAGUGGAUUAUGUGGUUUAAUUUGAAGCAACGCGGAGAACCUUUCCAGGGCUUGACAUUCAACUGACGAGGCAGAGAUGCAUUAGGUGCCCUUCGGGGAAAGUUGAGACAGGUGGUGCAUGGUUGUCGUCAGCUCGUGUCGUGAGAUGUUGGGUUAAGUCCCGCAACGAGCGCAACCCUUAUUGUUAGUUGGUACGCAAGAGCACUCUAGCGAGACUGCCGUUGACAAAACGGAGGAAGGUGGGGACGACGUCAAAUCAUCAUGCCCCUUAUGUUCUGGGCUGCACACGUGCUACAAUGGCCGGUACAGAGGGAUGCCACCCCGCGAGGGGGAGCGGAUCCCGGAAAGCCGGCCCCAGUUCGGAUUGGGGGCUGCAACCCGCCCCCAUGAAGUCGGAGUUGCUAGUAAUCGCGGAUCAGCAUGCCGCGGUGAAUGAGUUCCCGGGCCUUGCACACACCGCCCGUCA
rnacentral:rRNA from 1 species